rnacentral:sRNA from 1 species
AUGAGAAGUGACACCUAUCCCGAGGACGAGCGCAUCCAGGGACGUCACGAGGGUUACGACCCAUCGACUUAUCAGUUCUAGUUAGCGGUUGGUGGCUCUCGAGGUCUUAUUCCGGCUUUCUAACAGACUCUUGACAUGAAGGAAGGAGGUCAUCACUUGCAUGUGAAAUUUGUGCCUUAUGAGCAUCAUGAAGAUUGAUACCACUUCAAGAAGAUAAGAGGAAUAAGUUUGCUUGAAGAUUAAUGAAAAGUUGCACAUGGUUAGGUUAUUCCGAUUUGAUAUCUUGUGAAAGUGUGUUCUUGUUGUAAGUGUGCUUUUUUGCCUUCAUUUGUGGCUAAAGCUUGCUGGCAUAUACUUGAAUUUUUUACGAGACUUGAAUAUUGUUUGUGGGGUAUGCAUGGCAUGCAG